rnacentral:lncRNA from 1 species
CUGUUAGCCGUCUGUGCCCUUUCUUCCCCAGUUGGCCUAAAACCCAAGGCAGCCACUAAUUCUAUUUAAACUUCACAGAUAAGCUUAUUUUGAACAUUUUAUUUAAAUGGGAUUGUCAGUCAGCUAGAUGGCUCAGCAGGGAUGCUGGGAUUACGGUGCAUGCCUUCUUAUCUGGCUUUUUCACAUGGAUGCCGAGGUGGAGGCACACAUCUGGUCGUCUGGCUUACGUGACUGUAAACACAUGUGACAUCUUAAACUGCAUCAAAGGAUUCACAUGCUGUGAGGAUGACUGCUGCCCAGAAAGAAAGUUCUGGCUCCCUGCAAAUAACCCCUUCAUUGAAGCACUUCUGUCCCAAGUGCAGAGAACUGCAGCAUGAAUUCAGGACAGUGGAUCAUCAGACUCCUCCAGAACAGCCUUCCAUUGUUCCCCUAGAGAGCAUUAGGGUCACCUCUUUGGAUCCACCACCACCCUACAGUCAGGUUGUUCAGAUGCCAACUCCCACAGAACCACCUCCUCCCUACAGCCUCAGGCCUGAGGGCCCUGCUGGCCAGAUGAGAGGGCGUGCCUACGCAACCCUUUGAGCUUCCACACACACAAACCUCUUGGAUCAAGCCCAGGACCCUGGAAUGACUGCCUAUCCCAUCAUGUCUCUUGUCCUUUGAUUUAAUUUAUUCUGCUGCCUCCUCCCCUUUUGUCAUGAGAGCUAAGCUGGAUCCAUAAUCUCUGUCCACACUAAAGGCUGUUGACAUUUUUAAGAACUGGGGUUGGCUGUCGUGGAUGUAGAGAGAUAAUUGCUAGUGGGCUGCCAAUCUUGUCUGGACAGCUUGCUCUGCCAUCCUACAGCAGCACUUCUGUGCCUGGAAGAGUUUGAAGACUGAACUGCACAGACUCUAAGCCAUCUUCCAGUCAUACUGGACAGAGAGGACCUCACUGUUCCUCACAGCAAUGCAGAAAACACGGGGACUAAGUUUCCACAGCUGGCUGCUAAGUGGGGAUGAGACAAGGUCAGAGGCUGAGGAAACCCUUCCAUCUUCUUCCAGUGGUGACUGACUACACUGACCACCUGCUGGGAGGAUGGAGCAUCCAAGAUGUGAAUGAAUGCAUAGACCUUCACCUUCCUGGGGCGUGGGGGGCACUUAAUAAAUGAACUGAAAAGCUCUCUGG